UACAUAGGGGGCGAGCGUUAUCCGGAUUUAUUGGGCGUAAAGAGUGCGUAGGCGGUUUAUUAGGUCAGGCGUAAAAGAUCACAGCUCAACUGUGUAGGGCGUUUGAAACCGAUAGACUUGAAUACGGUAGAGGCAGGCGGAAUUCCAUGUGUAGCGGUGGAAUGCGUAGAUAUAUGGAGGAACACCAAUGGCGAAGGCAGCCUGCUGGGCCGGAAUUGACGCUGAGGCACGAAAGCGUGGGGAGCAAACAGG
rnacentral:rRNA from 1 species